rnacentral:tRNA from 1 species
GCUCCCAUCGUCUAGUGGUCCAGGACGUCGCCCUCUCACGGCGAAAACCGGGGUUCGAGUCCCCGUGGGAGCGCCA